rnacentral:rRNA from 1 species
AUUGAACGCUGGCGGCAUGCCUUACACAUGCAAGUCGAACGGCAGCACGGGUGCUUGCACCUGGUGGCGAGUGGCGAACGGGUGAGUAAUACAUCGGAACAUGUCCUGUAGUGGGGGAUAGCCCGGCGAAAGCCGGAUUAAUACCGCAUACGAUCUACGGAUGAAAGCGGGGGACCUUCGGGCCUCGCGCUAUAGGGUUGGCCGAUGGCUGAUUAGCUAGUUGGUGGGGUAAAGGCCUACCAAGGCGACGAUCAGUAGCUGGUCUGAGAGGACGACCAGCCACACUGGGACUGAGACACGGCCCAGACUCCUACGGGAGGCAGCAGUGGGGAAUUUUAGACAAUGGGCGAAAGCCUGAUCCAGCAAUGCCGCGUGUGUGAAGAAGGCCUUCGGGUUGUAAAGCACUUUUGUCCGGAAAGAAAUCCUUGGCUCUAAUACAGUCGGGGGAUGACGGUACCGGAAGAAUAAGCACCGGCUAACUACGUG